CUAGUUCCUUCGAUAUCAGUGUAAACUAAUAAUCAUGAUAUUUGCUGUGUUGGCAAAUAUCAUGAUUAUUAGAUUACAUUGAAAUAUCAUGAUUAU